rnacentral:rRNA from 1 species
UUGAUUUUAUAAAAUUUAUUUAUUAAAAUUUUUUUUUAUUAAUAUAAUUUAUUAAAAAUAAUUAUAUAAUUUAGUGUUUAAGUAAUUUUUAAUGAAAAAAUAAUUUUUAUUAUAGUUAAAUAUGUAUUGUGAAAGAAUAUUGAAAUAAUUUGAAAAAUUUUUAUUUAAAAAGAAAAUUUUUUUUAUUGUACCUUGUGUAUCAGGGUUUAUUAAAUAAUUAAUAUUUAUUUAUUAAUCUCGAUUUUAUAAGAGUUAAUAAUUUAUAGAAUUUAAUGUAUUAAAAUUAUUUUAAAUAAAUUAUUGGAAAUGAAAUGUUAUUCGUUUAUAAAGAUAUCUAGUAUUUUUAGAAAUAAAUUUAAUUUACAAUUUUUUAAUUUUUUAUUUAUUUAUUAAAAUAAAAAAUUUAUUAAUUUGAAUACUUUAAGGGAUAAGCUUUAAAGUAGAUUAUUAAAAAUUAAUUUAUAUUUUAUAAAAUGUAUGCAUGGAAUUAGCAAUCAUUUAUAAAUUUGUUAUAAGAUAUUUUAUAUUUUAUAUUAUUUAUUAAUAUUUUAAGUUUUUAUAAAAAUAUUUUUUUUAAUAUUAAUAUGAAAAGUAAUAAUGAUAAAAUUAGUAUAUUUUGUUGUAUAUAUAUUAUUUAUUAUGAUAGGUUUAUAUAAAGAAUUCGGCAAAUUUUUAUACUCGCCUGUUUAACAAAAACAUGUCUUUUUGAGUUAUUUUUAAAGUCUGACCUGCCCACUGAAUUUAUUUAAAUGGCCGCAGUAUUUUAACUGUGCAAAGGUAGCAUAAUCAUUAGUCUUUUAAUUGAAGGCUGGAAUGAAUGGUUGGACGAAGUAUAANCUGUUUCAUAUAAAUUUAUAAUAGAAUUUUAUAUUUUAGUUAAAAAGCUAAAAUAUAAUUAAAAGACGAGAAGACCCUAUAAAUCUUUAUAUUUUAUGAUAAUUAGAUUUUAUUGAUAAAUUAUAUUUUUAUAUUAUAGAAUAUUUUGUUGGGGUGAUAUUAAAAUUUAAUUAACUUUUAAUUUUGUUUAAUCAUUAAUUUAUGNAUAAUUGAUCCAUUAAUAGUGAUUAUAAGAUUAAGUUACUUUAGGGAUAACAGCGUAAUUUUUUUGGAGAGUUCAUAUCGAUAAAAAAGUUUGCGACCUCGAUGUUGGAUUAAGAGAUAUUUUUAGGUGUAGCUGCUUAAAUAUAAAGUCUGUUCGAC